CCUGAUUUUAAAUAUAGUAGAACUUAUUUAGCAUUUUAAUAUAUUAUAUAGCAUGUUCACAAACUGGAAUAAUUUUGUAAAAAUAGUAACCAUAAUGAUUAAGUAAUGAUUCAAACUUGUAAUAGUUCACUGAAAAGCCCUUUUGGGGAGUGGCUAAUAAAUACAGCCCUUUUGGGGAGUGGCUAAUAAAUACUACUACUACAACAACAAUUGAUUACCAAUGAUGGAAUCGAGUGUUUUAUCCUUCUUCGAGAAUGGUUACCAUCGCCGCAGGAGGGUUCAUAGUACAGCCUGCCAGAUUACAACCACCAAUCGUCAGAGCUCAUUUUUACUGACUUUGUUUAUCCAAAGCUCUUCUUCCACGUCAAAUAAUGAUCUAGUAUGGAAACCUGUAUAACUACCACGAGGGCGACAACCACGGCAGCUCAUGCAUGCAUGCACGUUUUUUUCACGUCUCUUCAACUAAAUGAAUAUUUUUUUUAUAUUAACUUUUGUCGUAUAGAAAAAACACAACGUAGAUUUAGACAAUUCUUGUAAGGAUAUACAACUUAUCAAACGACAUUUUUGUAUAACCAACGAGCAUGCGGUCUGUCCAGAGGCGUUAUAGGGUUAGGAUUUUUCUCUCAAAUCGAGGAAAUAAAUGUGUAUGAUUUUGUACACUACACGCCUAAAAACGCUCAGGUUAAAAAAUGUUGAACAAUAUUAUUACACCCGAUUCAGGCUCAACAGUACUGUUCAAUAUUCUUGACAAGUGAGAACAACGUGGGCAGCAAAACAUUGUUCAAUCCUGUUGAGCUGCGCGCUCGCCGUUUUUUGCCGUGUACUGCGAUUUCAUGCAGGUUUGAUUAUACUAUGACCAAUUGUUUCAAAGUUUUGAAUUGAUGUUUCGAAUUUAGCGAAUUUUCUCCACCUCGUGCGGGAUCGUAUUGUCAGCGGACAUCUUACACAAAAUUGCCAGAUCUGGGGAAAUACUUCAUGUAAGACCUACAAAACAGUUUGACCAAAUUAUAAGGUAUGUCAGUGUAUCGUAAAAGUUAGUGAAAACAUUGACCCUAACCUAACCCUAGUUUUAACACAAUGUGACUGUUUAAAAUGCAAAGCUUUCAAUUUUCACUGCAAUUCUGCUCGAAAUACGAGCCUGCUGUACUGAGAACAAAUUUGCUGAAUAUGACCAGUGUGAAUUACAAAGUUUGUUACAGAUUAUUCAAUUACAAUACUAUUAUAUAAUUCGAAUAAAUUGAUCCAUUAUUGUUCAUAGGUUUUAUGACUCAAUUAUCAGGGCGCGAUAAUUCACGUACUUACGUAUCGGACGUACCCCAGUAUCACGGUCUGGAACUUUUUAAGGUUACUGAAUCUGGUUACUGGUACUUUUUAAGGUUACAAAAUAUUGAGUUUCCCGUCUGGGGUCACUUGUUGCUCCCAACCCCCAGAUUCACAAUUUGAGCCUUUACUGCAUGCCUGAUUGAAAUUGACCGGAUUGCAAUGAGUUAAACAUGGUACAUAACAUGUGUGUUCACGUUUUUGUUCAUGGUUUUUCUUGUAUUGUGAAACGAAUUCCAUGCUGUGUGUUUGUUACCUAUGAGAAAAAUUAUUUCCAUGUCGCAAAUUGAACCCAAACGACUUCAACUUUAUUGCACUUAAACAUUUGAUGAGAUGAUUGAGUAAACUCAAUUAAGAUUGAGUUUUUGGGUCAGUUAAACUGGCCACCAGUCAGGUACGACUAAGUCUUGAAUUAUCGUACCCUGAUUAUGUGCAAAAAUUGAAAAAAGCCGAAUUAAGAAUCAUAUUUUACAUAUUGUAUCCUACAUACAGUGGCAGUGUGGCGUUUUUUUAGCAAACAAUCAGGAUUUAAAAUAACUAGUGCUUUCUUCAGCGUCAAAAGUAGAAAUUGUACUUCCUUGCGUGAAACAUAUGUCGAAAGCAGAGAACAGUAUCGCAAUUUUAACUUUAAGUAAAUUCUGGGCUCUAAAUCGCGAAAAUAUUAUGGUACAAAAAGGUUUAUAACAGACCUAGAAAAAGUGUUUUAUGUUCCUCGGAUCCUGAAUUUGCCUUUUUCAACAGUGGGCAAAACAAUGGAAAAUUUGACCGCAUACAUUACGGCAUUAUGUGUAUUUGUCUUGACAGUAUUUAUUUUACAUAUCUCAAAUGACAUGCAGAUAAGGAAGACUAACGCCCGUAUUCUAAAAGCUCAUUCAUACUCAAAGAGUAGAGGUUCAAUCUGAGCUUCUUUUGAGCGUCAAUGUUGUUUUUGAAUAGCUGGAUUAACGCUAGUGUCAUUCUAAACUAUGUGACUGCUCACCCUCCACCUAUUCAAAAACAGCAUUGACACUUAAGAGAAGCUCAGAUUGAACCUCUACUCAUUGAGUGUGUUCUUCGUGCGCUUUUAGAAUACGGGCGUAACUCUUCUAGAGGGAUACUCCGUAUGUGUGAAAAACUGAAAAAAUUAUGUUCGUCAAUCUUCUUGCUAAGACAAAUCUUCCUCAGGAUCCCGAAACCAACUUUCUCCAGGCCUGGAUUUAGAAAAUCGAUAAUCAAUUAAAAUCAAUCUGUGAAUCGUUAACAAUCAGGCAGCGAGAGGCAAGGCACCUUAUUCAAGAAUUAAUUCUUAUUGAUUGAUAUUAGAUAUAUUUAGUAUCUUGUAUGCUAUUUUGAAGUAGCAUUUAACGGAUCGUCAAAUAUGCUUGGUGAAUCUUCGUCAAAAAUUGAUGUUUUACUUUUUCCUUUCUUUUUUCCUUUUGUUUUUUUCGUUGUCUUUGAUGUCGAUGCAUCCUCACUUGCCACUGUCACUGAAUCUGAAAACAAAAACACAACGAUUACGAGAUAUUCAACAAUCCUGUACCGUUCGCAGCUCGAUUAACUAUUUCAGGGGUGCAUGUAGUGGAAGUGGGGCUCAGGGGCUUUAGCUCCUUGUUAACAAUUCCUGGGCUUACGAUUUUUAUCAAAACAGAAAUAAUCUUUGAUAAUAUAGAAACUUUUUGCAAUUUAAUACCAGCAAUGCUAACAUUUUAUAACAUCCCCUAAAUUGCUGGAAAUCGAAAAUUUUCUG